GGCAACUGAAUCUUUACAGAACCAAAAUGCAUCAUAUAUAACAAGUUAUUACUACAAAACUAAUGUCAAAUAAGCAAAAUAAUAAUAAUGCUAGUCAGUAUGGAAGGAAUUCUUUCCCUACCCAAUAGUAAAGCUUUCUAUUCUUACUCAUGAUUUUUGGACAAGAGAGAAAAGCAUCACAAGCAAGGCAUACUUGACAAUUAGCAUGCACAGCAAAAAGUUGAUGACUAAACAUAAAAGGAUUAAUUAUGUGGAGAAGGCAAU
rnacentral:misc_RNA from 1 species